rnacentral:rRNA from 1 species
GACGUAGGGGGCCAGCGUUGCUCGGAAUUACUGGGCGUAAAGGGUUCGUAGGCGGUGCGGCAAGUCGGAAGUGAAAUCUCCAGGCUCAACUUGGAGGCUGCUCCCGAAACUGCCGUGCUAGAGUGCGGGAGAGGCCAGUGGAAUUGCAGGUGUAGCGGUGAAAUGCGUAGAUAUCAGGAGGAACACCGGUGGCGAAGGCGGAUCUCUGGGCCAUUACUGACGCUGAGGAGCGAAAGCGUGGGGAGCGAACAGG